UACGUAGGAUGCAAGCGUUGUUCGGAAUUACUGGGCGUAAAGAGUACGUAGGCGGUUUGAUAAGUCUGAUAUUAAAUACAGAAGCUUAACUUCUGAACUGUAUCGGAAACUGUCAGACUAGAGGACAAUAGAGGAAGUCGGAAUUCUCAGUGUAGCGGUGAAAUGCGUAGAUAUUGGGAAGAACACCAGUGGCGAAAGCGGACUUCUGGGUUGUUACUGACGCUGAGGUACGAAAGCGUGGGGAGCAAACAGG
rnacentral:rRNA from 1 species